GGGGAGUUUCCAGAGUGGCUAAAUGGGACAGACUGUAAAUCUGUUGCUUCGGCUUCGGUGGUUCGAAUCCACCACUCCCCA
rnacentral:tRNA from 1 species